GAUGAAGAACGUAGCGAAAUGCGAUAAGUAAUGUGAAUUGCAGAAUUCAGUGAAUCAUCGAAUCUUUGAACGCACAUUGCGCCCCCUGGUAUUCCGGGGGGCAUGCCUGUUCGAGCGUCAUUUCACCACUCAAGCCUCGCUUGGUAUUGGGCAACGCGGUCCGCCGCGUGCCUCAAAUCGUCCGGCUGGGUCUUCUGUCCCCUAAGCGUUGUGGAAACUAUUCGCUAAAGGGUGUUCGGGAGGCUACGCCGUAAAACACCCCCAUUUCUAAGGUUGACCUCGGAUCAGGUAGGGAUACCCGCUGAACUUAAGCAUAUCAAUAAGCGGAGGA
rnacentral:misc_RNA from 1 species